CCCUUUUAGAGGCCGCAAGAGGAGAAAUAUCCUGUGGGACCAUGGCUGUUGGCACUGUUUGUUUUUGUUGUCUGUGGCUCAGGUCAACCACAUAAAUUGGCCUUUCCUGGAGACUGCCAGAACUUUCUCAAAACUGUAACAUCCAGAGGGAGUCACCCCCACCCAGGACCGGCAAGUGGGAUGUUUAAGGAACCGGCCGGCCCUGGACGAAAGACUGAGGCCAUUCAUCUGCUCUGGAGUUCAUCCUCGGGAUCUGAGAGGCACAGCCUGGAGAAGACAUCUCAUCAGCCAUCGGCUCCCUUAAGCUAUCUUUCAGAUCAUUCAGAGCAUAAGGAUGGGCAUGUGAGAAGGCCAGGGAUUUGACACCACCUCCCUCCCACUGGAGAGGGGAGGACCACGGAAGCGGUCAGCCAGUUUCUGCGGGAAGCAACAGGCCACACGGAAUAGAAAAAGUCGCUCCCCCACUUGUUCCCUGAUCACUUCAUCGUGGAUGUCAGACCAAAUUGCCUUCUCACAGGACAUCUUGGUGCAUCCGUGUUCUCAAGCGGAAAGGACAUUUUGCUUUUCUGUUGGCAGGAUUAGUAGCCACGCGGGUCGUCCGCAGCAGUGCUGUCUUUUUGGCUUUUCCCUUGGUUUCACUAAUGCGUGCAUGUGGCCCUCUGAACGAUCACUGGUUUACUUUCUAUGGAUACAAUCUCUCCCCCAUUGAGAAUUGGUUUUACAAAUAAAUGCCUUCAUUCAACCUUA